CCUACGGGUGGCAGCAGUGAGGAAUAUUGGUCAAUGGGCGCUAGCCUGAACCAGCCAAGUAGCGUGAAGGAUGACUGCCCUAUGGGUUGUAAACUUCUUUUAUAUGGGAAUAAAGUGCAGUAUGUAUACUGCUUUGCAUGUACCUUAUGAAUAAGGAUCGGCUAACUCCGUGCCAGCAGCCGCGGUAAUACGGAGGAUCCGAGCGUUAUCCGGAUUUAUUGGGUUUAAAGGGUGCGUAGGCGGAAGGUUAAGUCAGCGGUCAAAUGUCGGUGCUCAACACCGGCCUGCCGUUGAAACUGGUCUUCUUGAGUGAGCGAGAAGUAUGCGGAAUGCGUGGUGUAGCGGUGAAAUGCAUAGAUAUCACUCAGAACUCCGAUUGCGAAGGCAGCAUACCGGCGCUCAACUGACGCUGAGGCACGAAAGCGUGGGGAUCGAACAGGAUUAGAUACCCCUGUAGUC
rnacentral:rRNA from 1 species